CACAAGGCGGGGAGCAUGUGGUUUAAUUUGAUGCAACGGGAAGAACUUUACCUACUCUUGACAUCCAGAGAACUUAGCAGAGAUGGUUUGGUGCCUUCGGGAACUGUGAGACAGGUGGUGCAUGGGUGUUGUCAGCUCGUGUUGUGAAAUGUUGGGUUAAGUCCCGCAAAGAGCGCAACCCUUUUCCUUUGUUGCCAGCGGUUCGGCCGGGAACUCAAAGGGGACUGCCGGUGAUAAACGGGGGGAAGGUGGGGAGGACGUCAAUUCAUCAUGGCCCUUAGGCCUAGGGUUACCCACGUGUUCAAAUGGCGGAUACAAAGGGAAGGGAUCCCGGGGGGGCAGGGAACCUCAUAAAGUGGUUUCUAGUUGGGAUGGGGUCUGCAACUG
rnacentral:rRNA from 1 species